AUCGAACCCGGAGAUAGCUGGUUCUCCUCGAAAUAGCUUUAGGGCUAGCCUCAUGGAUCAUUGGUGGGGGUAGAGCACUGAAUGUGCGCGGGGGCCACAAAGCCUACCAAACGCUAUCAAACUUCGAAUACCAUACAAUGCAGACCAUGGGAGUCAGUCCGCGAGAGAUAAGUUCCGCGGGCAAAAGGGGAACACCCCAGAUCAACCGCUAAGGUCCCCAAGUUCACGUUAAGUGGAGAAGGAUGUGGAAUUGCACAGACAACCAGGAUGUUGGCUCAGAAGCAGCCACACAUUUAAAGAGUGCGUAAUAGCUCACUGGUCGAGUGAUUGUGCGCCGAAGAUGUCCGGGGCUAAACGUGACACCGAAGCGAUGGGUGCAUCUGAAAGGAUGCGCGGUAGAGGAGCAAUGUGCAGAGGCAGAAGCCGUAUCGAGAGGCACGGUGGACACUGCACAAGAGAGAAUGCCGGUAUGAGUAGCGAGAGGCAUGCGAGAAACAUGCCCGUCGAAAGCCCAAGGUUUCCUGGGGAAGGUUCAUCCGCCCAGGGUAAGUCGGGGCCUAAGCCGAGGACGGAAGUCGUAGGCGAUGGACAGCAGGUGUAGAUUCCUGCACUACCGAUGGAAUGAAGCAGUGACACAGAAGGAUAACUCGAGCAGGGUGAUGGUCAACCCUGUGCAAGCAUCAAGGUUGGGUUGUAGUGAAGUACGCAACCCUAUAAGCUGAGGUGUGAUGCGGACCGAAAUUUCAGUAGGGAAGCGAGUGAGUUCACGCUGGCGAGAAAAGCUGCUAGUACAUCCAAAGGUACCCGUACCGGAAACCGACGCAGGUGGGCGAGGAGAGAAUCCUGAGACGAACGGGAGAACCCUUGUUAAGGAACUCGGCAAAAUGACCCCGUAACUUCGGGAUAAGGGGUGCCUGCGAGAGCAGGCCGCAGAGAAUAGUCACAAGCGACUGUUUAGCAAAAACACAGGUAUCUGCGAAAGCGAGAGCUGACGUAUAGGUGCUGACACCUGCCCGGUGCUGGAAGGUUAAGGGAACAUGUUAGAGCAAUCGAAGCAUCGAACCGAAGCCCCAGUAAACGGCGGCCGUAACUAUAACGGUCCUAAGGUAGCGAAAUUCCUUGUCGGGUAAGUUCCGACCCGCACGAAUGGUGUAACGACUUGUGAGCUGUCUCAACAGGGGGCCCGGUGAAAUUGAAGUAUGGGUGAAGAUGCCCAUUACCCGCGACUGGACGGAAAGACCCCGUAGAGCUUUACUGCAGCCUGAUAUUGAGUUUCGGUAAUUGAUGCACAGGAUAGGUGGGAGUCUGAGAGACACGGGUUUCGGCUCGUGUGGAGACGAUGUUGGGAUACCACUCUUCGGUUACUGAAAUUCUAACAUAGCUCUGUGAAACCAGAGGAUGGACAGUGUCAGGUGGACAGUUUGACUGGGGCGGUCGCCUCCGAAAGAGUAACGGAGGCGCCCAAAGGUACCCUCAGAAUGGAUGGAAACCAUUCGAAGAGCGCAAAGGCAGAAGGGUGCCUGACUGCGAGAGUGACAACUCGAGCAGAGACGAAAGUCGGGCUUAGUGAUCCGGCGGUAUUGAGUGGAAAAGCCGUCGCUUAACGGAUAAAAGCUACCUCGGGGAUAACAGGCUGAUCUCCCCCAAGAGUCCACAUCGACGGGGAGGUUUGGCACCUCGAUGUCGGCUCAUCGCAUCCUGGGGCUGAAUUCGGUCCCAAGGGUUUGGCUGUUCGCCAAUUAAAGCGGCACGCGAGCUGGGUUCAGAACGUCGUGAGACAGUUCGGUCCCUAUCCAUCGUGGGCGUAGGAGUCAUGAGAGGAGCUGUUCCUAGUACGAGAGGACCGGAAUGGACGCACCACUGGUGCAACUGUUGUCGUGCCAACGGCAUAGCAGGGAAGCGAAGUGCGGAUGGGAUAAACGCUGAAGGCAUCUAAGCGUGAAGCCCACCUCAAGAAUAAGACUCCACAAUAGACCCCUGGAGGACUACCAGGUAGAUAGGUCAUCGGUGGAAGCGCUGUAAGGCGUGUAGCUUGAUGAUACUAAUCGGUCGAAAGCUUCAUUUA
rnacentral:rRNA from 1 species